UUUUAACUUCAGGGCAGGGUGAGAUUCCCGACCGGCGGUAUAGUCCGCGAGCCUAAGGGCUGAACUGGUUAGAUUCCAGUACCGACAGUGAAAGUCUGGAUGGGAGAAGUAUGUA
rnacentral:ncRNA from 2 species